CUACGUGGAACAUCUUCGAUCCUAUGAACUGUCCUCAGGCAACUCAAUAUCAGAGUUCAACGAUACAUCCACCCUCUCAGCAUACAACACAGGAGGCGGAUUGCUACUGAGGCUCAAGAGAUUCAUACAACUAUACUGAAAAGAUGGCAGAACCUACAUACCAGACCUUACUUUGUCUCCAUAUAGCAACGCAUAUGGUGAGGAAGAUGACCCUCUCCUCCCGUCCACAGUCGGUGGAUGUCCUGAAGAUCAUCAUGUAAAACAAAUUUAAUUUGGACUAUGACUUCACCCUUCAAUACGAAGAUCCUGACUUCGAUGGACAAUUGUGCUGUCUAGUGGACAUUGAGGAGUUUCCUGAGGAAGCUGUCCUGAAGGUAAUCAGAUCAGAGAGUAAUGUCAACUCAACCGGAUCUGGAGACACAGAUAUACUGCCCCACGCCAGAGAAUCUCCAGAGUGCCUAGAGAAGUGGCCUGACGGUUUUCCGGGUGCCAUCUUUUUCUUAUGAUAUUGAGCACAUACUUAGAGAGGAAAAUACUUGCCAUGAGAAAACUGUAAAGACUCUUAAAUUAACAAGAGCCCAGAAGCAUGACGUUCUUGAGAACAUAGCUAAAGCAAUACACAGCUUCAAGGCCUAUCCAAGUGGGGGAGAAUUAGGCAAGGCUACCAACGCGCUUGUUACCAAGCACCCAUGUCUCAAAGAAGCAGGGAGUCAGUCUGGAUGGUAUGCAUGGAUGACUAGUCUGAAGUUCAAGAUGGGGAACUAUCGGACCAAGUUGAGCAGAGCUGGAGUUCCUGAGGUCUAUCUGAAUGCAGGCAAGAGGAGCAGAAACAACCUAGAGAGAGAGUCACCCCACUCAAACAUCAAGAGACCCAGAUGAGCUGAGGUAAACUUCCUGCCAUGCUUCCCGAAAGGGGAAGACCAAGAGUCUCUCAAGCAGCUGAGACAGCAAAUCAUCAACAAAGUUUCAAAGACUGAGAGAAACCUGCCAUUAAUAGACAAACUGAUGCAGACAACUUUUGCCCUUUGACGAAAUGAGAUCGUAAAUGACGGACCGCCAGUGAAAUGGUUCCCGAGAGAACUGGCCAGCCCUUCACCUGGAGUCUCAGGUGGAGGAAACUGAAAAGCCAGACAUUAGACACACCUGUCGCUCUCCUCACUGUUGUCAGCGAUAACUGAACUGAUCAUGUCCAGUUAAACCCAGCCAGGAUUGCUGUUGUGCUAGAAGGUGACAUUGCAAUGAAUGAUCUCCCCAGGUUGGCUGAUGCAAUUAUGUUGUUAUUUGGUUUGAUUUACGUCUUGCAUCUGAGUUAUCCCAAGCAGCUGAUCCAUACUUCUGACUUUAUACAAAAAGUCCUAAUGGGCUUGGAUGAUGGGAAAAUGCUUAAACCCAAGCUUUUGUCUCUGAAAAAUGACCUAUUGGACCAAGACUAAUGAUGUAUGGGUCUGUGUGGGUAUUUGCUUUUAGAGGUAUUUGUCAUCAUUGAGGUUGUAGAUGUUGUCUCCAACUCAUGCCCUUACACAGCUGCAAGGCCUUUCUCGUAGAUAUGUCUUUAAUGUGUGGGUCCACAUUGUCCCAUCAUUGCCUUGUUAAUCGCAGUAUAGCCUCAAACAGCCAGUGUUUCCAAUCAAGAACCAUACAUUCUUUCGAAGUUCUAAAUGUUUUCCUUUCAUUGUCAUUGAUGUUUGACAUAAACCACGUCCAGUGGGUGUUAUUUUUGACCUCACAAAUGUUUUAGCUGUUCUGCUCUUCAGUAGAACUCAAUAGAAACAGAGAUAUCUCUUUUUGUACUGCCGCAGUCAAUCAACCUGUAAACAAUGUGAAGUGCUUGAUGAGAUAAGCGAGAGUUGAGAUUUGAUUUCCACUCCAAAUAAAGUUGCAACAUACACUAUGUUCUGAAUGUAAUGGAGGUAAGCAAGAGAGUUAAUUUGCACUAAAAUAAAGCUGGAACAUAUUUUCUAAAAUGUAUGUAUUACAACGGUUAUAACAGUUAAUGGUUUUUGAUCAUGGCUGCAGCUUUAAUGUGUUGCUCCUCAUUUUCCCAUUUUUGUCAAAUCACUGCAGCCUCAUACGGACAAUGUUUACAAUAGAAAAUUCAGUAUUUGGAUAGUCCAUCUGUAGAUAGUUAAUUGAGCAUCCAAAGACCAUCAACAAAUGUUAAAUUGCUAUCAACUAACCCUAACAUAUCAGCAGAGAUACAGGGACUAUCCAAAUGGAGUUACAGAAAAUUCUAAGUUCUUUAGAAUUUCUAAAUGUUUUAACCAGGUUUCCAUCCAACCAUUUCAUGCUCGAGCGCACGUAAAGCCUACAU